rnacentral:rRNA from 1 species
GGUAAGGCCCCUUCGGGGGUACACGAGUGGCGAACGGGUGAGUAACACGUGGGUAAUCUGCCCUGCACUUCGGGAUAAGCCUGGGAAACUGGGUCUAAUACCGGAUAUGAACUCCUGCCGCAUGGUGGGGGUUGGAAAGUUUUUCGGUGCAGGAUGAGCCCGCGGCCUAUCAGCUUGUUGGUGGGGUAAUGGCCUACCAAGGCGACGACGGGUAGCCGGCCUGAGAGGGUGAUCGGCCACACUGGGACUGAGACACGGCCCAGACUCCUACGGGAGGCAGCAGUGGGGAAUAUUGCACAAUGGGCGAAAGCCUGAUGCAGCGACGCCGCGUGGGGGAUGACGGUCUUCGGAUUGUAAACCCCUUUCAGUAGGGACGAAGCGCAAGUGACGGUACCUGCAGAAGAAGCACCGGCUAACUACGUGCCAGCAGCCGCGGUAAUACGUAGGGUGCGAGCGUUGUCCGGAAUUACUGGGCGUAAAGAGCUCGUAGGCGGUUUGUCACGUCGUCUGUGAAAUCCCUCGGCUUAACCGGGGGCGUGCAGGCGAUACGGGCAGACUUGAGUACUACAGGGGAGACUGGAAUUCCUGGUGUAGCGGUGAAAUGCGCAGAUAUCAGGAGGAACACCGGUGGCGAAGGCGGGUCUCUGGGUAGUAACUGACGCUGAGGAGCGAAAGCAUGGGUAGCGAACAGGAUUAGAUACCCUGGUAGUCCAUGCCGUAAACGGUGGGCGCUAGGUGUGGGGUCCUUCCACGGACUCCGUGCCGUAGCU